rnacentral:lncRNA from 1 species
GACCCCAACUUAUAGGAAUCAUCAAUGCCACAUGAGUUGGUGGUUUAGCUGACAACCACUUGGAACCUGAUUUCAAUAUGAAGGACCCUGAGACAAAGGAGCUACACACAGGAAACAACAUUUAAAAGAGACUCUGGUUCAAGAAGUCAUAGAGCUCGACAGAAAAGCGCCUGGCAAGGCAAGGCAUUCAUCUGCCUCUGGCCUCUUAUCGUGAUCCUGGGGCUCAUCAAUCUUACAGCAUGGAAUGGAAACAAGACCAAAAAGCACGAAGGCUGGGUAAAUUUU